AUUGAACGCUGGCGGCAGGCUUAACACAUGCAAGUCGAGCGAGCGGCGGACGGGUGAGUAAUGUCUGGGAAACUGCCUGGUGGCGGGGGAUAACUACUGGAAACGGUGGCUAAUACCGCAUACCAUCAGAUCUGCCCAGAUGGGAUUAGCUAGUAGGUGGGGUAAUGGCUCACCUAGGCGACGAUCCGUAGCUGGUUUGAGAGGAGGACCAGCCACACUGGAACUGAGACACGGCCCAGACUCCUACGGGAGGCAGCAGUGGGGAAUAUUGGACAAUGGGCGAAAGCCUGAUGCAGCCAUGCCGCGUGUAUGAAGAAGGCCUUCGGGUUGUAAAGCACUUUCAGCGAGGAGGCGUUACUCGCAGAAGAAGCACCGGCUAACUCCGUGCCAGCCGCCGCGGUAAUUC
rnacentral:rRNA from 1 species